ACAGGUUGAUUCUGCCUGACGAGGAUGCUUGUCUCUGGGAUUAAGCCAUGCAAGUCUGGUGAAGCGAAAGUGGAACUGCGAACGGCUCAGUAGAACGGUGAUUAUUUAAUCGUGUAGGAAGGAUAACCGCGGGAAACUGUGGCUAAUAACACGAGUAAGACGCCGACCCAUCAGUUUUAUCGUACGGUAAGGGCGUACGAUGGCUUUAACGGGUACGGGGGAUCAGGGUUUGAUUCCGGAGAGGGAGCCUGAGAAACGGCUACCAGGUCUAAGGACAGCAGCAGGCGCGAAACUUGCCCAAUUGGAGAGAGGCAGUUAUGAGACGUAUAUUUUGUAACCGGGGUAGAAUACCGGUGAUUGACUGGAGGGCAAGUCUGGUGCCAGCAGCCGCGGUAAUUCCAGCUCCAGGAGUGUCAUAGUGCAUUGCUGCAUUUAAAAGGUCCGUAGUCAGUGUUGACAGGGAUGCUAGAAGACACUUUCUUCAUGGAGUGUAUUGGCAUUCUAGGUUAGCAUGUAGGAGCGGAAGAGGGCGACUGUAUUGCGUAGCGAGAGGUGAAAGUUGACGACCUACGUAGGACAAACCGAAGCGAAAGCUGUCGUCCAGUACGUUUCCGGUGAUCAAGGACGUAAGCCGGAGGAGCAAAGGUGAUUAGAGACCCCUGUAGUUCCGGCCGUAAACUAUGCCAACUGGGUGUUACGUAGUGGUACCCACGAGAAAUCAAGUAUAUGGGCUAUGGGGAUAGUACGAUCGCAAGAUUGAAACUUGAAGAAAUUGACGGAAGGACACCACCAGGAGUGGAGUGUGCGGCUUAAUUUGACUCAACGCGGGACAACUUACCAGGGCCAGUUGUAUGACGAAUCUUUGAUGAGUACGACUAAGUGGUGCAUGGCCGUUCACAACAUGUGAGGUGACUUUUAGGUUUAUUGCUGUAAUGUGUGAGACCCUCAGCUACGGCGACUGGGGACUAUAAGUUUCAGGAAGGAGGGGGCUAUAACAGGUCUGUGAUGCCCUUAGAUGUUCUGGGCUGCACGCGCACUACAAUGUUAUUUCUAGGUAUAUUGUAAAGAUAAAGGAUAACUCGGUUGGGAUUGCGUUCUGUAAUGGACGCAUGAACCAGGAAUUCCUAGUAGUCGCGUGUCACUAACGGGCGACGACUGCGUCCCUGUUCUUUGUACACACCGCCCGUCGUUAUCUAAGAUGGUGCUAUGUUCGAAGAGGGUUUUCCUUCUGAGGACGUAGGAUUAGAUUGGAUACAAGUCGUAACAAGGUUGCUGUAGGAGAACCUGCAGCAGGAUCAGUGAUAGUACUUUUAUUGUGUAGUUUUUUCAUUUUAAACUCAUACAAGGGAUCACUUGGCUCCGUAUCCGAGGAAGGCCGGAAUAGUUUCCGAGAACUAAGGCCGAACGGCAUUUGUAAAUGCCUGACUACCCCCUGGACUUAAGCAUAUUAUUAAGGGGAGGAACAAAAACUAACUAGGAUUUCUGUAGUAGCGGCGAGCGAACAAGAAAUAGCCCCGAAUGUAAGCCUCCGGGCAUUGUUAAGAUCGUCGUAACGAAUUACCGGGACAGGUAAGCCAUAGAGGGUGAUAGCCCCGUAGUGACGAGUAAUGGGCAGAGUAGGGUUGCUUGGUAAUGCAGCCUGAAGAGGUGGUGGGUUCCAUCUAAGGCUAAAUAUGAGCGGAGACCGAUAGCGUAAUAGUACAGCGAUGGAAAGGUGAAAAGCUAAAAAGUGCAAAGACGUGAAAUUGUAUUGAGUAUCCUGAUAACAGGACCCGUCUUGAAACACGGACCAAGGAGUGCAUCUGCAUAG
rnacentral:rRNA from 1 species